AUAAAGGUCUCUGUCAUGUAGCUUCCUUCGGGAAGAACUUAUAGGGGAGACGAAAUGCGACCAGCCUGGACUGAGGUCCGCGCUUCUGCUAGGAUGCUGGCGUAAUGGCUGUAAGCGGCCCGUCUUGAAACACGGACCAAGGAGUCUAACAUCUAUGCGAGUGUUUGGGUGUCAAGCCCGAGCGCGUAAUGAAAGUGAACGGAGGUGGGAACCCUUUGGGUGCACCAUCGACCGAUCCUGAUGUCUUCGGAUGGAUUUGAGUAAGAGCAUAGCUGUUGGGACCCGAAAGAUGGUGAACUAUGCUUGAAUAGGGUGAAGCCAGAGGAAACUCUGGUGGAGGCUCGCAGCGGUUCUGACGUGCAAAUCGAUCGUCAAAUUUGGGCAUAGGGGCGAAAGACUAAUCGAACUGUCUAGUAGCUGGUUCCUGCCGAAGUUUCCCUCAGGAUAGCAGUAACGUUUUCAGUUUUAUGAGGUAAAGCGAAUGAUUAGAGGCAUGGGGGUUGAAACAACCUUCACCUAUUCUCAAACUUUAAAUAUGUAAGAAGUCCUUGUUACUUAAUUGAACGUGGACAUUUGAAUGUAUCGUUACUAGUGGGCCAUUUUUGGUAAGCAGAACUGGCGAUGCGGGAUGAACCGAACGCGGGGUUAAGGUGCCAGAAUGCACGCUCAUCAGACACCACAAAAGGUGUUGGUUCAUCUAG
rnacentral:rRNA from 1 species